rnacentral:rRNA from 1 species
GGUUAAGUUAAUAAGGGCGCACGGUGGAUGCCUUGGCACUAGAAGCCGAAGAAGGACGUGACAAACGACGAAAUGCUUUGGGGAGCUGUAAGUAAGCGACGAUCCAGAGAUGUCCGAAUGGGGGAACCCACUAGCUGAUGGCUAGUACUCCUAUCUGUUAAGGAUAGGUAGAGGAAGACGCAGUGAACUGAAACAUCUAAGUAGCUGCAGGAAGAGAAAGCAAAAGCGAUUGCCUGAGUAGCGGCGAGCGAAAAGGCAGGAGGGCAAACCGAAGAGUUUACUCUUCGGGGUUGUAGGACUGCAAUGUGGACUUAAAGAUUAUAGAAGAAUGACAUGGGAAGGUCAGCCAAAGAGAGUAAGAGCCUCGUAUUCGAAAUAGUCUUUAUACCUAGCAGUAUCCUGAGUACGGCGGGACACGAGAAAUCCCGUCGGAAUCUGGGAGGACCAUCUCCCAACCCUAAAUACUCUCUAGUGACCGAUAGUGAACCAGUACCGUGAGGGAAAGGUGAAAAGCACCCCGGGAGGGGAGUGAAAUAGAACCUGAAACCGUGUGCCUACAACAAGUUCGAGCCCGUUAAUGGGUGAGAGCGUGCCUUUUGUAGAAUGAACCGGCGAGUUACGAUAUGAUGCGAGGUUAAGUUGAAGAGACGGAGCCGUAGGGAAACCGAGUCUGAAUAGGGCGAGUUAGUAUUAUGUCGUAGACCCGAAACCAUGUGACCUACCCAUGAGCAGGUUGAAGGUGAGGUAAAACUCACUGGAGGACCGAACCAGGGCACGUUGAAAAGUGCUUGGAUGACUUGUGGGUAGCGGAGAAAUUCCAAACGAACUUGGAGAUAGCUGGUUCUCUCCGAAAUAGCUUUAGGGCUAGCGUCGACAUUAAGAUUCUUGGAGGUAGAGCACUGUUUGGGUGAGGGGUCCAUCCCGGAUUACCAAUCUCAGAUAAACUCCGAAUGCCAAUGAAUUAUGGUCGGCAGUCAGACUGCGAGUGCUAAGAUCCGUAGUCGAAAGGGAAACAGCCCAGACCACCAGCUAAGGUCCCAAAAUAAUUGUUAAGUGGAAAAGGAUGUGGGGUUGCACAGACAACUAGGAUGUUAGCUUAGAAGCAGCUAUUCAUUCAAAGAGUGCGUAAUAGCUCACUAGUCGAGUGACCCUGCGCCGAAAAUGUACCGGGGCUAAAACAAUUUACCGAAGCUGUGGAUACCUUUAUAGGUAUGGUAGGAGAGCGUUCUAUGUGUGGAGAAGGUGUACCGUGAGGAGCGCUGGAACGCAUAGAAGUGAGAAUGCCGGUAUGAGUAGCGAAAGACAGGUGAGAAUCCUGUCCACCGUAAGACUAAGGUUUCCAGGGGAAGGCUCGUCCGCCCUGGGUUAGUCGGGACCUAAGGAGAGACCGAAAGGUGUAUCCGAUGGACAACAGGUUGAUAUUCCUGUACUAGAGUAUGUAGUGAAGGAGGGACGCAGUAGGCUAACUAAAGCGUGCGACUGGAAGUGCACGUCUAAGCAGUGAGGUGUGAAUUGAGUUAAAUGCUUAAUUCUAUAACAUUGAGCUGUGAUGGGGAGCGAAGUUUAGUAGCGAAGUUAGUGACGUCACACUGCCAAGAAAAGCUUCUAGCGUUAAUCAUACUCUACCCGUACCGCAAACCGACACAGGUAGUCGAGGCGAGUAGCCUCAGGUGAGCGAGAGAACUCUCGUUAAGGAACUCGGCAAAAUGACCCCGUAACUUCGGGAGAAGGGGUGCUGGCUUUCAGUCAGCCGCAGUGAAUAGGCCCAAGCAACUGUUUAUCAAAAACACAGCUCUCUGCUAAAUCGUAAGAUGAUGUAUAGGGGGUGACGCCUGCCCGGUGCUGGAAGGUUAAGAGGAGUGCUUAGCGUAAGCGAAGGUAUGAAUUGAAGCCCCAGUAAACGGCGGCCGUAACUAUAACGGUCCUAAGGUAGCGAAAUUCCUUGUCGGGUAAGUUCCGACCCGCACGAAAGGCGUAAUGAUUUGGGCACUGUCUCAACGAGAGACUCGGUGAAAUUUUAGUACCUGUGAAGAUGCAGGUUACCCGCGACAGGACGGAAAGACCCCAUGGAGCUUUAC